CCUUGCUCAUCCUCAUGGCUUCCUCCAUAUCUUUCUUCUUCAUCUCUGAUCCUCAACACCAAGAAGCUGUAAGCAGCAACUGCACACAGCCACCGCCGGCCAGCCGUAGCAGCGGUGCUGCCCCCCACGCGUGCCUCUCCCUCUUCUUCCCACAUUUUUGUGCUCAAUUCAUAAGAGAAGCUUAAGAACCUCACAUUUAGUGGUUGCGAUAGUUUUUGUCUUGCAGUUGUAAUGACAGGAGCACUACUGCAAAUUAGAAGUGGAAGCAAUAAGAAUGGGCGAAGUACCUGAUCACUCUAAAAUUUAUGUUGAGGCGAUUAUGGAGGUAAAUAAAAAUAAAAAAAUGCCUUCUUUUCCAGGCUAUUAUGGUUUGGGGUCUGCCAAUAAACUACCCUAAUCUAUUUGAGAACCGUUUCACCCCUCGAGAAGAUUGCGCUACGCAAGAUGAAAUGAGGACGCAUCUUUCCGAGCUUCAGCGAUAUAUGCAUGAAUUUCGCGUAUUCAUGCAAGCUCAACUCGACGAGAACAACCCUACUCGAGAAAAUAUAAGAGAAAUGCGGGGGCGCUUACAAGCUCUCGAAGAAACUUACCAGCAAUUACGGAUGCAUUACAAGGGGAAAGCAGUAAUGCAGGCCGUGGUUCAGGAGUAGGUGGUCGUCAAGGUUGGGGUGAUGAUAUGGGUAGUAGCCCAGGUGGAUUGGGCGGUUCUCGGGGAUCACAUAACACCCGCGGUGGUGGUAGGCGAUCUAGUCGUGG